rnacentral:rRNA from 1 species
UACAGAGGGGGCAAGCGUUGUUCGGAAUUACUGGGCGUAGAGGGCGCGUAGGCGGCCUUCUAAGUCAGACGUGAAAUCCCUCGGCUCAACCGGGGAACUGCGUCUGAGACUGGAAGGCUUGAAUCCGGGAGAGGGAUGUGGAAUUCCAGGUGUAGCGGUGAAAUGCGUAGAUAUCUGGAGGAACACCGGUGGCGAAGGCGGCAUCCUGGACCGGUAUUGACGCUGAGGCGCGAAAGCAUGGGGAGCGAACAGG